rnacentral:ncRNA from 1 species
UCGAGCUGUAUGAAGGGAAACUCUCACGUACAGUUUUUUUUUGGGGGGGAGGAGCCGACAGGGUCCCCCACUGACUUGGCCCGGGCCUAAGUGAAAGUGAAGUGGUGGCCUACCCAUCCCAAC